CCUACGUGGGUCAGCAGUGAGGAAUAUUGGUCAAUGGGCGGAAGCCUGAACCAGCCAAGUAGCGUGCGGGAUGAAGGCCCUACGGGUCGUAAACCGCUUUUGCACGGGGAUAACACCCUCCACUUGUGGAGGUCUGCAGGUACCGUGCGAAUAAGGGCCGGCUAAUUCCGUGCCAGCAGCCGCGGUAAUACGGAAGGCCCGAGCGUUAUCCGGAUUUAUUGGGCUUAAAGGGAGCGUAGGCGGGCGUUCAAGUCAGCUGUAAAAUCGCGCGGCUCAACCGCGCCCCGCAGUUGAAACUGGACGCCUUGAGUUCACAACAGGCAGGCGGAAUUCGUGGUGUAGCGGUGAAAUGCAUAGAUAUCACGCGGAACCCCGAUUGCGAAGGCAGCCUGCCGGGGUGCGACUGACGCUGAGGCUCGAAGGUGCGGGUAUCAAACAGGAUUAGAUACCCCAGUAGUC
rnacentral:rRNA from 1 species